rnacentral:rRNA from 1 species
CAAGACCUGCGCUUUUGGAGCGGCCGAUGCCUGAUUAGCUUGUUGGUAAGGUAAAGGCUUACCAAGGCUUCGAUCAGUAGCUGGUCUGAGAGGACGGCCAGCCACACUGGGACUGAGACACGGCCCAGWCUCCUACGGGAGGCAGCAGUGGGGAAUUUUGGACAAUGGGGGAAACCCUGAUCCAGCCAUGCCGCGUGAGUGAAGAAGGCCUUCGGGUUGUAAAGCUCUUUCAGCCGGAACGAAACGGUUACGGAUAAUACCCGUGACUACUGACGGUACCGGAAGAAGAAGCACCGGCUAACUACGUGCCAGCAGCCGCGGUAAUACGUAGGGUGCGAGCGUUAAUCGGAAUUACUGGGCGUAAAGCGUGCGCAGGUGGUUUUGUAAGUCAGAUGUGAAAGCCCCGGGCUCAACCUGGGAACU